UGCAAUUUUAUAGAAUUAAAUCUUAUUUAUCUUCAGAUAUAAAAACUAUAUUUACCAGCUGAAACACUAACGCAUAUGCAGUAUAAUAUAAUCUACUUAACAAUCUCGUUUUAGUUAUAAUAUGUGAUUAAUUCUUUUGCUAUUUCGCUAUAAACAGUUUUUUGUGCAUACAAUAUUUUUUUAUAGUAUUCUAAUAUAUUGUUAGAUAUUGUAAAGAAAGUAAAAUACAGUUAUUGAAGUGUGGGAACAUUCAAUGUUAACCUUGCUUCAAAAAAUAAUCUUUCGAAUGAAUGGGGAAUAGAUUUUUAGUAUUAUAGUUGGUAUAAUGUCAUCAUUGUUUACAAUGUGUUAGAGUUAAAGAAAUGAGACAAAUUAAUAUUUCAGAAGCAAAUUCAAUAUUUAAAUGAUGUUAUUUUAAAAUGGCAGAUGAUAUGAAUGUUCUUUUUAUACGAGGAAAUGGAAACGUAUGUAUGGAUACAGACACAGCCAAUGAUAAUGUUUGGGACGAUAGUGCAUUAAUAGAAGCAUAUGAUAAAGCAAUAAAUUUAGCAAAAGAAGAAGUUAUCAAGCGAAUGGGAAUGGAUGUUGGAAAUUCUCAACCGAAAGAAAACCUACAAAAUCUUAAGCAGCCUAAACACGCAAGUAAAUUACACAAGAAAUGGAUCAUAGGAGCACCUUGUCGUGCAAUAUACUCAGAGGAUGGAGAAAUUUAUGAAGCUAUAAUAUCAAAAAUUUACGAAAACAAUGGCACGUGUGUUGUAAAAUUUGUAGGCUAUGGUAAUACAGAGAAAGUCGAGUUGAGUUCUCUUUUAGAAUCAGAAGGUUUGCAAAGUCAAAUAGCACAACAAAAGAAAGCUUUGGAAGAGAAAUUCAAUGAAGAGAACGACGAGACUUGUGAGACUAAUUUUUCUACAAAUGUAAAUUCGAAAAAAUAUAAUGUAGAAAAAAUGGAUUGUGAACAUCACUUCAUAUCGGGACCAUCUUUCAAUUCGAUGACUGAUAUAAUGCCACCUGCACCUCCUUUACCACCACAAUUAAUGGCCGAGUAAGUACAAUUUAAAAAUUCUAAUGAAAUGCUGAAUACUUCUAAUAUUAAUAAGUAAUUUGGAAUAAGUUUAACAUUUUAUUUGGAAAAAAAAAAUACGAAAUUUUAAUAAAAUGUACUAGAUUACCAGAUAAUGAUACAGACGCACUUUCAAGUAUGUUGAUGUCAUGGUAUAUUAGUGAUUUUCACACAGGUUAUUAUCAUGGUUUGAAACAAGCAAGAAACAAUCAAGAGAACAGGAAGAAGUGUUGAUUAUAUCAAUUUUUUCAAUAACAAUAUAACGAUAAUAUAAGAUAUAAUAAAAUAUAAAACUCAUUGUAUUUAUUUACUUCAAUUAUUUGAAAUAAAGAACAGCUUUAUUUUCAUAUAA